rnacentral:lncRNA from 1 species
AGUUGUUUCUUACUGUUUUUCCUAAAACAGAUGUCAAGAGACAGAUAUGGGAAUUCUGGGACAGUAGAAUAGAUCUUUAUAAACAACGAGUGGCAGAACUCAGAGAGUGGGAGAGUGUUCCCUGUCUAUAAUCCAGCCACAGGAGAACAGGUGUGUGAAGUUCAAGAAGCAGACAAGGCAGAUAUAGACAAAGCAGUGCAGGCAGCCCGCCUGGCUUUCUCUCUUGGUUCAGUGUGGAGAAGGAUGGAUGCUUCAGAAAGGGGACGUCUGUUGGAUAAGCUUGCAGACUUGGUGGAACGGGACAGGGCAGUUCUUGCAAUGGAGACUAUUUUACCUUUACAAGACAUGAACCCAUUGGAGUGUGUGGACAGAUCAUCCCAUGGAACUUCCCCCUGCUGAUGUUUGCCUGGAAAAUAGCUCCAGCUUUGUGCUGUGGCAAUACAGUAGUUAUUAAGCCAGCAGAGCAAACACCACUCAGUGCACUCUACAUGGGAGCCCUCAUCAAGGAGGCUGGCUUUCCUCCCGGGGUCAUCAAUAUUUUGCCA